rnacentral:lncRNA from 1 species
UCAAUUAGUAAAGUAGACAAUUUAUUUAGUACCUGGGAGUAGUAGAAAGGCAAAUCUAAUAUCAUGUAGUAUAUUGAUAAUUUUUGUACAUGAAGAAAAAAAAACCAAUUGUUAAACAAAGAGUAUAGUAGGAAAAGAUGCAUAUAAGAAAUUUUAAAGUAGUCAUUCCAGUCGGUGCCAGCUCCGGGUCACUUUGGAUGCGAACUCAGUGGUCAGUCCCACAGUCCUGAGAGGACUCUCCACGAAAUGUUAGGAUCACUGGUGAGUGGAACACAACAUCUGUUCCAAACCAAUUGUGACGGACCUGUGACAUCAGCAGCAAGCACACGGGAGCCCUGACUGACCAGCAGCUCGGGUUCAUUCUGAUCAGUACUGGUAUACCUUGGUUUCCAAAACACCACACAGCCCCAUGGUCCUCAGAGGAGACACCACUUCCAGGUGCUGUAACACGCCCAGGAUCUUAGGAUUCCAGGAUCCCGGGAUAACAGGAGCUUGGUCACACCAGGAUCUCAGGGGCUCAGAGGAAGCUUGACUGCCAAGAACUCUGACACACCCAGAAUCUGAGGUUCACAGGAGCCCAGAAUCACAGGAUCACAGAGAAAGCUGGAAUUUGAGGAGUCCGGAAUCAACCGGGAUUAUAGGAAGGACAGGCUCCAAUCAGAUAUAUUGAGGGCAGCAAGCACUUGAGAUAAUCAGAAAGCAGGAGGCAAGCAUAAGAACAGAAGCAACAGAAACCAAGGUUACUUGGCAUCAUCAGAACCAAACUCUCACACCAUAGCAAGUCCUGGAUACACCAUGACAUCAGAAAAGCAAGAUUCCUAAAGGUUAUAGGCAUAUGUUUCUCGGAAGGUGGAAUGGGAGGAUAAGUUGAUAGGAAUUUCAACAUGAUGGAAAGAGAAUAGCAAACCAAAUCAUCUAUACUGAGUAAGAAUACACAGCAGGUGAUGGUGGAAAUGAAGACCUGUCCAUGUUCAUGAAUCUGAGAAGGAAGAAUGGAUGGAGAGAGAAGAAGACAGGAGAGAGAGAGAGAGAGAGAGAGAGAGAGUCCAUCUUACAUCUUGACUCUUCAUUCAGAAACAAGGAGGUGGGUAGUAUAAUGUCACAGAAGGUAACUUGGAACACGGUGUUUUGUACUUGUACCCAGCAUGACAACUGUUUCUCCCUGGGUGGUGGCAUGCAAGGAAAGAAUCAUGAAGUAAUGUAUCAUGUGGACUUGAACCGGAAGCGUAGGUGUGGAAGUCUUAACUUUCUCCUGACUGUUUACUUUGACCAAGCUCCUUCUCUAGUGCCAUGCCUGCCUGGAUGCUGUCAUGCUUUCCGCCAUGAUAAUAAAGGACUAAACCUCUGAAACUGUAAGUUAACCACAAUGAACUAUCUUUCUUUAUAAGAGUUGCUGUGGUCAUGGUGUCUCCACACAGCAAUAGAAACCCUAACUAAGACACUACCUAUCCAAAUGCUAAUCUCUCUCAGAAUCACCCGGAUACAGAAUAUCUGACCUGGACUAAGUGAAGCUGAGAUAUCAAACUAGCCUCCACAUAGUACCAGAUUAGAGUAUUUUCUCUUAGAAACUAAUGGCUGACAGAGGCAAUUCGGUUAGCAGCUGUAAUGAAAAAGAUAGAAAGAUUUGAUCCAAACCUUUUAACACUGAAGAGCUACUUUUUCCAGUUAUUUAUACAUUUUUGUUUAAAGGCUUCAUUUACAUUCAUUUAUUUAUUUGGGGGCAGGAGGGAAUAUUGGUAGAGUGUGCCAGCGCAUGCUUUUGAACAUCAGAGGACAACUUGUGACAGUCUGCUUUCUCCUUCCAGCAUUUGGGUUCCAGGAUCAAAGUUAGGUCCCCAGGCUUGGCAACAAGUACCUUUGUGUGCUGAUCCAUAUCACCCAUCCUGUUUAAACAAUUUUUAAACAGAAGUUGAAUGUCUUGAAGAUGUGUAUAUGUUCAAAUUAAAACUCUUCAGAAAGAU